UUCGUAGGUCCCGAGCGUUAUCCGGAUUUAUUGGGCGUAAAGCGAGCGCAGGCGGUUAGAUAAGUCUGAAUUGAAAGGCUGUGGCUUAACCAUAGUAUGCUUUGGAAACUGUUUAACUUGAGUGCAGAAGGGGAGAGUAGAAUUCCAUGUGUAGCGGUGAAAUGCGUAGAUAUAUGGAGGAACACCGGUGGCGAAAGCGGCUCUCUGGUCUGUAACUGACACUGAGGCUCGAAAGCGUGGGGAGCAAACAGG
rnacentral:rRNA from 1 species